ensembl:miRNA
UGGCUGCUGUCGUCCUUCCUACUGUUACCAAGUGCUACAGUGGAAAGCGCAGACACCAAG